rnacentral:lncRNA from 1 species
GGACACAUAUAUAUUGAUAAAAAUAUGGAAUAGUUACAUGUAGCGUGCUGAUAAAAUACUAAAAGAAUGUCUCUGAGCCGAAUGAUUAACACUAUAAUAUAGAUAGAUAAGUUGGCAGUCUGGAGCUAUUAUUAUUGAAUUUCUAACUGAGGAACCACAUAAAUAAAAAGCAUGUGUGUGUGUUCAUGAAUGAUGGAAAGUAACAAUGAUGGACUCAGAGAAGAAUUGAGGAUCGACAUCUGAGUAAUUCCUGCCGAUAUAUUUGCUAAAUAUGUAUAAGUAUUUGCGUUUAUUCCCCUUUCUCUCAUAGCUGAUUGCAAAUACUCUAAUAAAUCGUCAUGAAGACA